rnacentral:RNase_P_RNA from 1 species
GUGAGCCGGUGGGCGGCUUCCGAGCUUAAGGCUUGAGGAAACUCCAUCCACCAGGUGGGGCCGCGACGCUGCAAGGCGUAGGGUGAGAGCCCUGGCUCCGGACAGAAACGAGACCUCCUCUCGCAGAUGUGAUGAUACGCCUGAAGCGUUGAAGACGCGAGGGAUCGGUUGAGACGACCGACCCAGCGGGGUGAAAGGGCAAAUAAGCGCCUGUGAACUCCCGCCUGAGGCGCGGGUAGCCCGUUCAGCUGAAUGCCGCCUAGAACAGAAGAUGGGUUACGGCCGGCACAC